CCGUACAGCGUUUACAUUGUCACUCACGAAACAGAGGUUUGUAUCGAUCUCUCAAUCAUCUAAAGUGAGAAUCGAUCCAUUACGAUUCCGAUUGAGAUCUCCGUCGUCGAAGAAAGGAUGAUAUCCAUCGGAAAAGGUGGAAACGGAUCUCAGGGUAUUUGGAUCCGGUUUCGAUAGAGUCGUAUGAUGUUUUUGUGAUCUAUCUCUCUGAAAAGAUGUGAAUGAUAAAGGAAUUUUCACCAGAGUUUCUGUAAUAUGAUUUAUGUAGAUGUUUCUCUACUCUCUCUGUCUCUUGCUUUAAUCUUUUCUUGGGAAGAUUGUUUAUGAGAGUAUUAUAAGU